AACCAUCUGUCUCUGGGACCUCCUCUGUCCCCUCCCGUGACUAACACCCCAGCCCCUGCCGCGUUGUCGUCUAACAGCUAUCUCUGGGAGAGGGCGGGCUGUGCGUCGUGAGGGACGGGGCAGGCCAGCUCCUCCUCACCCUCGUUGGUGGGGGGCCGCAGAGGUGCAGUCCCAGCUCUGGGCUCACCAGCCGGGACACCCGGCUAGGCAGGGGGCCUCUGCAGCCUCCUCUGCUUGCUCCACCCCGUGUGGAGGUCUGCUCACCCCCCGCAGGGCGGUCGAGCGUGGAUGGCAGCCGCAUGCAGCAAGUCCCCCUCACCAGCCCUCGCUGCACCCUGCGGCCCGCAGUCCCGGGGCUGGCCCCGCACCGCCCUCCUCCGCUUCCUCUGCAUCUUCCCAGGGAGAUGCUGGCCACGUUUCCCAAACCAAAAGCUGACGUGAUAAUGGGAUGGGUUGUUUGCAACAGAGGUCGCUCAAAAAAACCUCAGGCCAUCAGAUCGUAACCAGGGGCCGAGCGUGGCCUGAAUGUGCAGGCUUCUAGAGCCCGCACUAAGGGGUGUCUCCAACGUCCGUCACAAAUCGGAGGCAACAGCCCAGAGCAGGUGGCGCUUGGUCCUGGUCUGGCCAAGUCAGCCAAGAGACAGCUCUGGCCAGCCCUGCGGGAGCAGUGAAGACACUCACGGGUGCUCAGGGAGGGCCGUCCCAGUGUCGGCCAGGGCCCAUGUGGGGCCCGAGUCAGCCAGCUUCUCGGCCGGGCCUGAGGUCCCUGCCUGCACAGAGCUUGUCUCUGUGUGCAAAGACCCAUAGACAAGACAACCAUGCGUUCCCACAGGUGCUCGGAGGAAGACACUGAGGGUCCUGUAGUGGGCAAUGCCGGGCACAGAGGGGCUUCAGCAAGGGGGCUUCUCAGAGGCGGUGUUUGAGCGGACAAGGAUGAGGGGAGCCCGCCCUGCGGAGAGUAUGGGGGCGGACUUGCGAGCUGAAAGAGCGGCAAAUGCUAAGCCCCCGAGCCUGCCACCAGCCUGGCGAGUUCAGAGAAAAGAAAGCAGAGCAGCGUGGCUGACGAGCGUAGGGCGUGGGGAGGGCAGAGGAAGGCACACUGAGGGGGAAAGCCUGGGUUUGUCCACGUACAGGCCGCUUUCUGUGUGCCCUGGGCUAGGGCGCCAUGAUGCAGUGCCUCUCUGGCCCGCUCGCCUGGCUGGAGGCAGGAGGUGAACCCAUCAGGCGGGAGCCAGAGCAGGGCCCGGGAGGUGAGGCGGGCAGGGCCGGCCUGCAGCCCUCGGCGGAGGUGGCUGCUUCCUGCUGGUGGAGCAAGGACAGGCUGCCACAUUUCGAGCAGCCAGGUGUCCCUUUCAGGGCGAGAACGCUGUCCAAGGCGUUCCCACUGGGAUAGCAAGUUCUGCAGCUCCAAGCUGGAGCGCUUCCUAGACUCACAGAUGGUGCCCUGGGGGCAGCCGCUGUAGGGCCCGCAGAGAUGUUGGGGUCACUGUCGGGGUGGUGGGGGUUUGUUCAGAGGGGAGGACCAAGGCCCAGAGAGGACUUGGUUUGUCCAGGUGCCCUGGAAAAUUGCUCUUGAAACAAGGACUUGAACCUACAUCAGGGAAGGGGACCUCUUUCCCCACCAGGAUCCAAAAUUACUUACAUACUCAGUCAGGACCACGUUUGGCCUCUUUACUGAAUUCAUCCAGAAACGUGCAGGAGCACCUUAUUUUUUUCCUUUUUAAUCCAGGUAUGUGCACUGGACCACUAAAGUUUUGUUUACAUGGCAUUCAGUGGUUUUUAAUCCAGCUUUCCUGAGAUGAUUGACAUCUGACGUUGUGUGAGUUCAAGGUGCACAGCACGAUGGCCUCAUGCGUUAGAUGCUGUAAAUGAUUACCGCGGGCAGGCAGGUUAAAACGUCCGUGACCUCACACAGUCACCUUCCUCUGUGAAUGCGCUGAGAACUUGCAGACCUUGUUGCGCUCCUCCCAAGUCCGCAACACAGCACCGCCAGCCGCGGCCGCCGUGCCGUCCAUUCACCCCCACGGCCUGUCUGCCUCGUUACCGCAGCUGUGCGCCCCUCGACCGCCUCACCCCUGGCAGCCACCAGGCCAGUCUCUGUUUCCAUGAGUUUGGCUUUUCGAGAUUUUUUUAUUUUGUAUUGAAGUAUAGCCGAUUAACAAGAAACGUUGUGAGAGUCUCAGCUGCACAGUAAAGGGACCCAGCCAUACCUAUGCUUGUGUCCCUUCUCCCCAGACUCCCCCCUCACCCAGGCUGCCCCGUGCCCUGAGCAGAGCUCCCUGUGCUGUCCCCCAGACUCCCCUCUCACCCAGGCUGCCCCGUGCCCUGAGCAGAGCUCCCUGUGCUCUCCCCCAGACUCCCCUCUCACCCAGGCUGCCCCGUGCCCUGAGCAGAGCUCCCUGUGCUCUCCCCCAGACUCCCCUCUCAUCCAGGCUGCCACAUGGCCCUGAGCAGAGCUCCCUGUGCUGCACAGGAGGACCCUGUUGUUCACCCAUUUUAAAUACCGGCUUUUCUGGAUUUUACGUAGAAGUGAGAUCAUGCAGCA